rnacentral:lncRNA from 1 species
AAAGGAUUCGUGUAAUCCAAAUAUAUUUAGGAAAUAGGCUUGGCCUCCUUUUGGCAAAAUUCAUAAUGAUUUAUAAAGAAGAUUGUAGUAGGUCUGACGAAAUGUGCGGAUAAUAAUGAUUAACAGUUAUGGAUGCCAAAUAUAUUUAGGAAAUAGGCUUGGCCUCCUUUUGGCAAAAUCCAUAAUGGUUUAUAAAGAAGUAUAGUAGUAGGUCCGACAAACUGUGAAGAUAAUAAUGAUUAACAGUUAUGAAUGUAUUAUUGAAAUUAAUAUUUGAUUUUGAAUGAAUUCAUAAACCAUUUGUAAAUUUGUAUCCAGAGGCUUAGUAUGCUCAAACAUGUCAAGUGCAAAUUAUGUGACUGUUCAAUGGUUUUUGGACGGAAUUUUUCUUUGGCAUCCAAGUGCUAGAAGUAUUAAAGAAUGGGGACCUAAACCAUACUUAGGCAAGGCCCGACUCCUGAUGCACUAAUCUUGUGUUUAUCGAUAAAUAGUUUAGUUGUCCCAAGUCAAAUGUGAGCAAAGGAUUUUAUCAGGCUUAUCAUUAUUUUGGAUGCAGAUUCAGAUCUAAUGAAACAUAUGCAGCCUUAUUCGUAGUUACCAUUACACAUGGAUGGGCCUGGGCGAUAGUUAUGAUUCAAUGUGUAGUCGACUAAGUGACAGACGAGGUGCCUGUCCAAAAAUAAUGGAAAACAAAGAGAAAAUGAAGACUUUAUACUUCAAGAGAAUAAGGAUGAAGCUCAUUUCAGCUUAUAGCUCUCUCCUCUGUCCAGAUUUUUUCUUUUUCCCCAUGUAUUAAUGUACUGUAUACAGUAUUGAUUGUACGUACUCGCAUAUAUCGAGCUACAACCUGUCGUCACUUGGGUAAUUGCCAACGUGUUUGGACCAAAAUUGGUGCCAUAGCUGUUGGUUAGGGCCUCAGAGGGUGGCUGCGAUAUGUCGUUAAUUAAUUAUGUGAAAUAAAUGAGAU